ensembl:misc_RNA Metazoa_SRP Metazoan signal recognition particle RNA
GCCGGGCGUGGUGGUGCGCGCCUGUAGUCCCAGCUACUUGGAGGCUGAGGCAGGAGAAUGGCGUGAACCCGGGAGGCGGAGCUUGCAGUGAGCAGAGAUUGUGCCACUGUACUCCAGCCUGGGUAACACAGCGAGACUCCGUCUCAA